rnacentral:rRNA from 1 species
AGUGAACGCUGGCGGUAGGCCUAACACAUGCAAGUCGAACGGCAGCACAGGAGAGCUUGCUCUCUGGGUGGCGAGUGGCGGACGGGUGAGGAAUACAUCGGAAUCUACUCUGUCGUGGGGGAUAACGUAGGGAAACUUACGCUAAUACCGCAUACGACCUACGGGUGAAAGCAGGGGAUCUUCGGACCUUGCGCGAUUGAAUGAGCCGAUGUCGGAUUAGCUAGUUGGCGGGGUAAAGGCCCACCAAGGCGACGAUCCGUAGCUGGUCUGAGAGGAAGAUCAGCCACACUGGAACUGAGACAAGGUCCAGACUCCUACGGGAGGCAGCAGUGGGGAAUAUUGGACAAUGGGCGCAAGCCUGAUCCAGCCAUACCGCGCGGGUGAAGAAGGCCUUCGGGUUGUAAAGCCCUUUUGUUGGGAAAGAAAUCCAGCUGGCUAAUACCCGGUUGGGAUGACGGUACCCAAAGAAUAAGCACCGGCUAACUUCGUGCCAGCCGCCGCGGUAA